rnacentral:rRNA from 1 species
GAUGAACGCCGGCGGUGUACAUAAGACAUGCCGGUCGAACGGGAGAAGACUGGUGGAUUUCUCUACUAGUUGGACACCGUGGCGGACGGGUGAGUAACCCGUAAGCAACCUGCCUAUUACAGGGGAAUAACACUGAGAAAUUACUGAUAAUACCGCAAAAGCUGGAAGUAUCGCAUGAUACAUUCAGAAAAGAUUUAUCGCUUAUAGAUGGGCUUGCGUCUGAUUAUCUAGAUGGUGAGAUAACAGCUCACCUUGGCGACGAUCCUGGCCGGAUUGAGAGGUUGAACGGCCACAUUGGGACUGAGAUUCUUCCCUCACUCCUACGGGAGGCAGCCGUCGGGAAUAUUGUACACUGGAGGAAACUAUGAUGGGAUGACACUGUGGGUAGGAAGAAGGUCAUACGAUUCUGAGCUAUUGCCGUGUGAUAAGAACUGACCCUCACACGAGGAAUGCCUGAUCAAAUAUGCGCGACCAGUCGCGGUCAUCCAUAUGGGGAGCGCGUUAUUCUCCUUUAUGGGAUGGAAACGGUGCGUACGCUGGAAAAUAUGACAGCAUGCGAAAUUCCCUCGGCUCCCCUGAUCACUGCAACUGAAACUAGUUUUCUUGAGUGAUUGACGUCACUAGUGUAUUUCCUAUUGUAUCGACGCAUUGCGUAGACAUUCGGGCAGCACACCCCUGGUUAAGGACCACCUUCUCGGGCUAGCACUCUGCAUGCCGUAUGGCCGAUCGGUCAGCGG